AGAACUUUCUGGGCCAGGGAUUGAGCCUGCAUCACAGCAAUGACAAUGCCAGAUCCUAAACCACUAGACCACAAGUGAACUCUGUAAUGUGUCAUUUUUAACUAGCCGCUUUUAAGAUUUGCAGUUGGACUAUGACAUGUAAUAGUUAUCCUGCUUAGUGUUUGACGGGCUUCUUGAACCUGUAAAUUUAUGUCUUUCACAAAAUUUGGGAAGCUAUUUGCCAUUAUUUCUUUAAACUUUUUUAUGCCCAUUCUUUUUCACUUCUCCUUCUGAAAUUCUAAUAUGGGCCUUUUGAAAUUGUUGCCCUAAGGCUUUAUUGUUUAUUUUAUUUUGCUUCAAUAUUCUUCUCUCUUUUCUUUAGAUUGGACAAUUUGCAUUAGUCUUCAAAUUCACAGAUUUUCCUCUGCUAUCAUUUUAUGGUUUGAUUAAUCUCUUCCAGUGAUAUUUUUAUUCCAGAUAGUCUUAUUACAGAUAUUGUAUUUUUCAGUUUUAAAAUUUCCAUUUGGUAUUACAAAGUAUUUUCUAUUUUUCUGUUGAGAUUUUUACUUUUCAUUCACUGAACAUAUUGUAAAAGCUGCUUUAAAAUCUUUGAUAAUUUCAACAUUUGAAUUAUCUCAGGACUGACUUCUGCUAAUUGUCUUUUCCCCUGAGACAAGGUCAUAUUUUUCAUGUUCUUUGUAUGUCUCAUAAUUUUGGGUUGUAUCUUGGACAUCAUAAUUGUUAUGUUUCAGAGACUCUGGAUUUCUCAUAUUCUUCUGAAGAGGGUCAGUUAUAGUAUUUUUGAUUUAGUAGGGAAUUAACUUUCUCUUAAUUACACUUAAUCUGUAAUCUGUUUCUGCUGUGACUGAUGUCAGCUCAAAUCUCAAUUUUCCUUUAGUCUUUGUUCUUCGUUGCUUUGAGUUUGUCCUGCUUAUGUGUGAUACAGGGAUCAGCUGAUGACAUGGGCAUAGCUGAUAUACAAAAUUUGGGAUUCUUCAUCUCCUGUUCUCUCCUCAGGAUUCCCUUCAAGCCCCAAGCUCCAUCUCUUAGUUCGUCAGGCUAAAAAUAUGGCAGGAUUUCUAUUGGAGUUUCAGCUAGCCCAUGCUAUGACGAGAUUAUAGCUCUGACCAAAACCACAAAAACAGGAAACAUUUUGUGUUGGUUCCUUUCUCCAAGUUUUUUACUCUCCUCCAANGUGGCAUAUGGAGCGGCCUUAGAAAAGGCAAAAAGACAAAAAAGAAAAAAAUAAAUAAAAAAUAAAAAAUUACAGAGGUAAUGAGGUUGGGACCAGAUCUUAUAGGGCAAGAUGUCCUAUCUUUUCUAAUCUUACUCCUAGUCUCCCUUAUCCUGAGGUCUUAUUAAUUCAUGUCUGCAACAGCUUCUAACUCAUCUCAUCCAUUUUCCAGUUUAACCUAUAUAAUGCCACUGUGAUAACUGGAAAAUACCACCUUCAACAUGUCAUUCCCCUCUGCGCAAGGAUUCAGAAAAGUUAUCAAAUACAUCAAGUCUAAAUUAGUCUAUAGGAUUUUUAGGACUACCCUUAUUUACUCUUGUCUCUAGUGAUUUUUUUCUGAUCAUUUACUGAGCUCUUUCUUUGUUCAAGGAGCUGUGACCAAAGAUGGGUAAGAAACAGGUUCAAGACGUGGAGUUUGCUGUCAACAUAAACUUUCUUCCUAGGUCUGAGAGCCUUUUCCAAUUUCUUGCAUACAUGCAUUGAUGUCUUUAUAUUUCUAACUCAAGAUUUUGCUAUUUUUGCCCUUGAAUAUCUUCUCUUCUUGAACUUCCAACAUAAUCCAAAAUUCUUCUAUGGUUAUAAGGCCCUGCAUAAUCUAGUCCCUCACUAUUUCUUCUUGUGAUCACCUCUUGUGAUAUCCUUUUCAUCCCUCACUCUAUAGUCCAGUGACAUUGACUACCUCUCAGUUCUCUAAAUGUACUAAGUUUUUCCCUGUGUCUAGACCUUCUUCUGCCUAGGUCACAUUAUCCACUCCUUUUGCUUACUCACACUUUAAGCCUUUGUUUGAGUGACCUGAGAACUUCCUUCCCUAACUCCAAUCUAUACAAGGUUUCACAGCAUCUUGUAAGAUCAUGUGUUUAAUGGGUUAUUACAAAGAGUUGCUCUCUCUACUAGAUCAUAAGCUCCAGGAAGAGGAGUAGAACUGUCUCUAGCUCACCACAGUAUCCUGGCUACUCUUUAAUCCAUCUAAUUUCAUUUUCUCCAAGAGUGCUCAAGAUCUUCUAAGUUUCUCAACGACCCUUUUCUUCCCUGACUUGUUUUGUUUUUUAAUAAAAUAGUUCUUCAAAUGUUGAAUUCAAAACCCUGGUGACAAUGAUCCAGCUCACCAUGACAGGAAAAACCAUCUCUCCUAGUGUAUCAUUGUAGAGCUGAUUGUAUUUCCUUCCCAAACCAUACAAUUUAAUCCUAAAUAAAGCCUGAAAUGUACUUGGGCAGAAAAAACAUAUAAAACAAACAGCAUUUGGACAGGACUUCUUUUUUUUUUUUUUUUUUUUUUUUUGCUUAAAAAGUUCUAUAAAAGUUUCUGUCUUAACAGGUUAUAUUUUGCUUGUUUGUUUUGCCCCGACUUCUUAUUGUGUUAAAGUCUUGCCACAUGUCAAUAAGACAUCUGCCCAUCUUACUUUUCCAUUCAGCUUGUCUGGUACUUAAAAUUGGGAAUAACAUGUUCCAUAUAUUUUAAGAAUCCUAUAAUGCUCUGGUCAGACGUCAGUGGCAGGGACAUUUCUUUUUAAUCUCUAAAUCACUUGCAGUUAUUGCAGGAGCCCACAACCAAGAAAUCCUCAGUAAAUGUUUGCUAAACUGUUCAAUUAAAUGUAAAUUGGUUGAUUCACAGGUGACUGAUUGGUACUUAUUUGGUAGAUAGACUUAUUUACUCAUUCAUUCAAUAACUAUUUAUGUAAUGCUCUAACAUCCAAAGUCCUAUGCUUAGCACUGGGGAGAAAAUGGAACAAAAGACACACAAGGAAUCUCCCAUUUCAGUAGGGGAAAUCUACAUGUGUAUUACCAUGUAUCUACAUGUAUUACUAUAUAAUAUCUAGUAAUGGGAUAAUGCUUUGUACAGGUAUCAUCAUGCACACAAUGAAGUCCCAGGAUUGGUUCUAUUCAUGAUUAUUGAGGAAGGUUUUAUAAAGUUGAGUUGUAAAGAAUGGACAGAAGUUUACCAAGCCAACAAAGGUAGAGAGGAACAAAAGAAGGCAUGUUUACCAGUAAGUCAUCAAGAGUAAAACAAGACACAUGAAAUAAGGUUAGAGAAACAGCCAGAAUUAUAUCACACUGUACUUUUUAUACCAUGCUACAUAACAACUGCUUUUAGUCUAAGUGAGAGAUGCAGUUUUAAGAGAGAUGUACAGUGAUGGUGUGAAAGAGAACUCAGGGUAGGAAGACAGAUUCAGGGAGUAUAUGUCUAGGGAGAAAUGUGAAGGAUCUGAGAUGUCAGUGAGGAUAAAGUGAGGGUAGUGAUUUGAUUGAUAUUAGGAGACAGAAGUUAACAGGAGACAGUGAUUCACUGGGAAGGGAAGAAGAUAUAGAGGGAGGAGCCUAAGAGGACUCCUAAGUUUCUGAUGGGGAUCUCUGAGCAAAUGGUAAUGCUUUCACCUGACUUAAGGAGUACAGAAAGAAGUAUACAUGUGAGGAGAGAAAAUUAAUGCAGUUUAGAAAUGUUAAUGGAUAUCUGAAGGACAUCCAAGGGCUUAUGUCUGGUAGGAAAAAGGAAAUGAGGACCUGAAGCUCAGGGGAGAGUUCUUAAUUAGAGAUUUAGAUUUCAAGGCCAAAUAUUUAUGAUUCUGUUUCAAAUGACAAAAUGUCACAAAAUAGCGCUACCAAGGCCCUGCCAGCUGCUGCUUCUGCCCUCAAGCAGAUCAUCUAACACUCAUCAGUCAACAUAUAUCAGAAUGCACUACGUGGGUUUGCAAUUUGUCCUUCACUUUAGCCCCUCUAGGUCUGCCUGUGGUAUCAGCAAGGAUACUUGGGGUCUUCUCUUGAGCUUGCUCCCCUACUCACAUGUGUUCUUUGGCACAGAGGUGAGAGUGUCCAGGCAAUACUGAACACUGGAUUAGCACCAUUUCAUUGGAGACUAGACUAGAAAUAUUUGAUUGGAAAGAGUCACUUAAAGAGUUACCUAGAAAAGAAACAAACUGACUGCUCUGUAUAAACACUCUUUGGACCUGAUGUAAUAUAUCCCUAACUUUUUGUGACUUCUGACAACUACUUUAAGAAAGUAAUAUAUGACCAAUUUAAUAACUAAUCAUAAUGAAAGCAUAAUUAUCUGAUAAUGCCAGGUCAGAGAUCAUCCAACUACAUAAAUCCUAAUGGAAAGAAGAACAUUAACUGAUUAAACCUAGAUCUAAAAUUCCACUUAUGGAGUUCCUGUCGUGGUGUAGCGGAAACGAAUCUGACUAGGAACCAUAAGGUUUCAGGUUUGAUCCCUGGCCUCACUCAGUGGGUUAAGGAUCUGGCAUUACCGUGGCUCUGGUGAAGGCCGGCAGCUGUAGCUCCGAUUAGACCCCUAGCCUGGGAACCUCCAUACGCUGCGAGUGAGGCCCUAAAAAGCAAAUAAAUAAAUAAUAAAAUAAAAUAAAAUUCUAUUUAUUUAUUAGCUCAUUCUCUUUGUUUUGGCCAUGCCCAUGGAAUGUGGAGGUUUCUGGGUCAGGGAUCAAACCCACACCACAGCAGUGACUCAAGCCACUGCUACGACAAUGCCAGAUCCUUAAACUGCUGCACCAUAAGAGAACUCCUAAUAGUUCAUUCUUUUUUUAUUUCUUUUUCUUUCUUGGCUGUCCCAUGACAUGUGGAGUUCCCAGGCCACAGAUAAGAUCCAAGCUGCAGUUGCAACCUACAAUGCAGCUGAAGCAAUGCUGGAUCUUUUAACCCACUGUGCUGGGCCAGGGAUCAAAUCUGCUUCUUGGCACUGCAGAGAUGC
rnacentral:lncRNA from 1 species